rnacentral:tRNA from 1 species
GUGGCUUAAUGGUAGAGCACUUGCCUCGAAUGCAUGAGGCCCUGGGUUCAAUUCCUCAGC